rnacentral:lncRNA from 1 species
CAAGAACAAAAUUGAGCACAACCUUGAAUCUAUCACAUAUAGACUAACUAGAGAAAUUGUAAUAAUGUCUCAACAGGUAAUGCUGUACAGAAAUUAAGCUGAAGUGAUGAUAAUGAUUCCAAGGAAGACAAGAGCUUCAACACUCUCAAGUUUUGACUCCUCACUAUUCACUGGAUUCCUAACAGAUUUGCAGUUUCUUGUAAGAGAGGGAUAGGAAAGAAACUCUGAAUACAAUCCUGUCAUUGAGCCCAAAAGUGGACAAAUGGAACUUCAUGAAACUAAAUAAAC